rnacentral:rRNA from 1 species
UUAGCGGCGGACGGGUGAGUAACACGUGGGCAACCUGCCUGUAAGASUGGGAUAACUUCGGGAAACCGAAGCUAAUACCGGAUAGGAUCUUCUCCUUCAUGGGAGAUGAUUGAAAGAUGGUUUCGGCUAUCACUUACAGAUGGGCCCGCGGUGCAUUAGCUAGUUGGUGAGGUAACGGCUCACCAAGGCAACGAUGCAUAGCCGACCUGAGAGGGUGAUCGGCCACACUGGGACUGAGACACGGCCCAGACUCCUACGGGAGGCAGCAGUAGGGAAUCUUCCGCAAUGGACGAAAGUCUGACGGAGCAACGCCGCGUGAGUGAUGAAGGCUUUCGGGUCGUAAAACUCUGUUGUUAGGGAAGAACAAGUACRAGAGUAACUG